GACGUUUUGUGCGAACGUUAUUCGGAAUCACUGGGCUUAAAGCGCGUGUAGGCGGAUGGGAACGUCGGCCACUGAAAGCCCCCGGCUCAACCGGGGAAGCGGUGCCGGGACGGCCCGUCUGGAGGGGCGUAGGGGGACCUGGAACUUCCGGUGGAGCGGUGAAAUGCGUUGAGAUCGGAAGGAACGCCCGUGGCGAAAGCGAGGUCCUGGACGUCAUCUGACGCUGAGACGCGAAAGCUAGGGGAGCGAACGGG
rnacentral:rRNA from 1 species